rnacentral:rRNA from 1 species
ACCCGCUGAAUUUAAGCAUAUCAAUAAGCGGAGGAAAAGAAACCAACAGGGAUUGCCUUAGUAACGGCGAGUGAAGCGGCAAAAGCUCAAAUUUGAAAUCGGCCUCCAGGUCGAGUUGUAAUUUGUAGAUUGUAUCUUGAGAGCGGAUUAAAGUCUGUUGGAACACAGCGCCUUAGAGGGUGACAGCCCCGUAAAAUCUAUUCUCAUUGUAAGAUACUUUCGAAGAGUCGAGUUGUUUGGGAAUGCAGCUCUAAGUGGGAGGUAAAUUCCUUCCAAAGCUAAAUAUUGACGAGAGACCGAUAGCGAACAAGUACUGUGAAGGAAAGAUGAAAAGCACUUUGAAAAGAGAGUGAAAAAGUACGUGAAAUUGUUAAAAGGGAAGGGUAUUGAAUCAGACUUGGUGCUGUUGUUCAACUGUGUUUCGGCACAGUGUACUCAGCAGUACUAGGCCAAGGUGGGGUGUUUGGGAGUGAAAAAGAAGUUGGAACGUAACUCUUCGGAGUGUUAUAGCCUACUUUCAUAGCUCCUCAGGCGCCUCAGGACUGCGCUUCGGCAAGGACCUUGGCAUAAUGAUUCUAUACCGCCCGUCUUGAAACAGGGACCAAGGAG